rnacentral:tRNA from 1 species
GGGAAGGUGGCUCAGUGGUAGAGUGCUUGCCUUGUAUGCAUGAGGCCCUGAGUUCGAUUCCUCAGGACCCCA